GCUCGACAGCCCGUCUUGGAUAAGGGGCGGGUGUGCGCGUUCCCGAUACACCAGGAAAUAUGGCGGCGCUCAUGACACUCAGUCAGCUAUCAAGUGGAAAUCCAGCUUAUGAAAACUACUACAGGCAGCUGGAUCCAGGAAACACAGGCAGGAUAUCAGCUGGAGAGGCAGCUCAGUUUCUGAAGAAAUCAGGGCUCUCGGACAGCACUCUGGGAAAGGUAGAACAU